AGGUCAGGCGGGACUACCCGCUGAGUUUAAGCAUAUCAAUAAGCGGAAG
rnacentral:rRNA from 2 species